rnacentral:lncRNA from 1 species
GACUGGCAAGGGAAAAUGUCGCUUCGAUGGUACGAUCGACGGGCAAAAGAUGCGGAACGAGUUUGGGUUUUGUUAGAGAUUUGAAGGUGAGGGAAAAAUGUAGUAGGCGAUGGUUAAGUGUGAAGGAAUAGAGAAAAGGGAAGGAUAAGGUGAGGGGAUGAUGGUAAGCAAAGGGUAACCGAGGAUGGUGUUGAGGUCAGGAAAGAGAAAGGGGGAAAAAGGUAUGAAUAGAGGAGAGGCCGAAAGGAGAACCGUGAGUGUGUGGUGGCAACGAAGAGGGCGUGUGAUGACUUGAAAGGGCAGCAAUGCUUGGAAUGAUGGGGAGAGUGAAAAAAGUGAAUGACGAUUAGGGUUUUGGGUAGGAAAAAAC